CAUGCAUGUCUAAGUAUAAGCAAUUAUACAGCGAAACUGCGAAUGGCUCAUUAUAUAAGUUAUCGUUUAUUUGAUAGUACCUUACUACUUGGAUAACCGUGGUAAUUCUAGAGCUAAUACAUGCUAAAAAUCCCGACUUCGGAAGGGAUGUAUUUAUUAGAUUAAAAACCAAUGCCCUCUGGGCUCCUUGGUGAUUCAUAAUAACUUUUCGAAUCGCAUGGCCUUGCGCCGGCGAUGGUUCAUUCAAAUUUCUUCCCUAUCAACUUUCGAUGUUUGGGUAUUGGCCAAACAUGGUCGCAACGGGUAACGGAGGGUUAGGGCUCGACCCCGGAGAAGGAGCCUGAGAAACGGCUACUACAUCCAAGGAAGGCAGCAGGCGCGCAAAUUACCCAAUCCCGAUUCGGGGAGGUAGUGACAAUAAAUACUGAUACAGGGCUCUUUUGGGUCUUGUAAUUGGAAUGAGUACAAUUUAAAUCCCUUAACGAGGAACAAUUGGAGGGCAAGUCUGGUGCCAGCAGCCGCGGUAAUUCCAGCUCCAAUAGCGUAUAUUAAAGUUGUUGUGGUUAAAAAGCUCGUAGUUGAACCUUGGGCCUGGCUGGCCGGUCCGCCUCACCGCGUGUACUGGUCCGGCCGGGCCUUUCCCUCUGUGGAACCUCAUGCCCUUCACUGGGUGUGGCGGGGAAACAGGACUUUUACUUUGAAAAAAUUAGAGUGCUCCAGGCAGGCCUAUGCUCGAAUACAUUAGCAUGGAAUAAUGAAAUAGGACGUGUGGUUCUAUUUUGUUGGUUUCUAGGACCGCCGUAAUGAUUAAUAGGGACAGUCGGGGGCAUCAGUAUUCAAUUGUCAGAGGUGAAAUUCUUGGAUUUAUUGAAGACUAACUACUGCGAAAGCAUUUGCCAAGGAUGUUUUCAUUAAUCAGGAACGAAAGUUAGGGGAUCGAAGACGAUCAGAUACCGUCGUAGUCUUAACCAUAAACUAUGCCGACUAGGGAUCGGACGAUGUUAUUUUUUGACGCGUUCGGCACCUUACGAGAAAUCAAAGUGCUU
rnacentral:rRNA from 1 species